GCUCAUGGCUCAGGAUGAACGCUAGCGACAGGCUUAACACAUGCAAGUCGAGGGGCAGCGGGGAGUAGCAAUACUUCGCCGGCGACCGGCGCACGGGUGAGUAACACGUGUGCAACCAACCCCGUACCGGGAGAUAACCCGCGGAAACGUGGACUAACAUCCCAUAAUACUGAAGGAUCGCAUGAUCUUUCAUUUAAAAUUCCGGUGGUACGGGACGGGCACGCGCGACAUUAGGUAGUUGGCGGGGUAAGGGCCCACCAAG
rnacentral:rRNA from 1 species